GCCCCUUUAGCUCAGUGGUAGAGCGUUGCACUUGUAAGUGCCCUAGUCUAUGGCAACUCAUCAAUGCAAAGGUCAUUCGUUCAAUCCGGGUAGGGGGCA